rnacentral:lncRNA from 1 species
UCGACGCAGUAAGAGUUUCGCUUACAGUAUGUAAACCUCAGUCGCCGUGUGUCGAAAUUCGCACGUACACUCGCAUAUAUUAAUACGUUACCCAUGCACACUCCCUGACACAAGCACACACACACACACAUGUACACGCGGUAUCCUCCAGACAACAGCAUUGUCCUGAAUCUCCCCCCCUUCGCUUAACAGGUUGACGACCUCAUCGCCACUGGCGGCACGCUUGCAGCGGGAAUUAACCUAGUCAGUAAGUCCUUGACACUGAAAGCGUGUCUUACAGGGUCGCAGCCCUCCACCUCCAGAUCGAAGUCGAGCACACUGACCCAAAAUGAGCAUGGUGUGUCUGGUUCAGUGUGCGGUUCGCAUGUUUUGACGUUCUCAUAGCACCCAUCCGUCUCAUGCACUGAUGUGUAGCUUUGACAUUAUUAAUUCGGAUAUCUGCCAGUCCAGGCCGGCAGGAAAAGCAUACACGCAUCCAUCAUGCAAAAGAGACGUGUGUAACAUUCGGCGCAUUGUGGACAUGUUCGCUGCCGCAGAGAAAGCCGGGGGUGUGGUGGUUGAGGCAGCGUGUGUCAUCGAGCUCCCGUUCCUCAAGGGCCGGGAAAAAAUUCCCGACACGCCCCUGUUCGUCCUGGUGGAGAAGGAGGGGCUCUAACUGCUGGAUCACUCGAGCACGGCCUGGUUGCGACCUGCUUUUCAGGAGGCAGCCAGCCGAUUGGUGCUGGACAAGCUGCCAUAUGGUAGCACUCUGUGAUUCCGGCAUAUUGGCCCAACGAGGUCUCGUGCGCCGUGACCAUUCAGUCGUCGUGCGUUGCUAGGAUGCUGCGGACGGGCUGGCAGCAUGUUGAGAACUCCUAACCCACCUUUAACCCCGACAGCCCAGCACGCGAGACGGCAGCUUGCCACUGCAGUUAUGGCAAUUUGUACGGACUCGCGCGCUUUAGUGCUUGUGACAUGGCGUCCACGAACUCUACCUUGGACAGCUUUGCGCUGCUCGCGACGCCCACCUCCGACAGGUCGGCUGAAGGACCAAGGAUGACUUGAAGCGCACGGUUUGCUUGCUCCGCCGUCACC